rnacentral:rRNA from 1 species
AGUGAACGCUGGCGGUAGGCCUAACACAUGCAAGUCGAGCGAAUGGAUUAAGAGCUUGCUCUUAUGAAGUUAGCGGCGGACGGGUGAGUAACACGUGGGUAACCUGCCCAUAAGACUGGGAUAACUCCGGGAAACCGGGGCUAAUACCGGAUAACAUUUUGAACCGCAUGGUUCGAAAUUGAAAGGCGGCUUCGGCUGUCACUUAUGGAUGGACCCGCGUCGCAUUAGCUAGUUGGUGAGGUAACGGCUCACCAAGGCAACGAUGCGUAGCCGACCUGAGAGGGUGAUCGGCCACACUGGGACUGAGACACGGCCCAGACUCCUACGGGAGGCAGCAGUAGGGAAUCUUCCGCAAUGGACGAAAGUCUGACGGAGCAACGCCGAGUGAGUGAUGAAGGCUUUCGGGUCGUAAAACUCUGUUGUUAGGGAAGAACAAGUGCUAGUUGAAUAAGCUGGCACCUUGACGGUACCUAACCAGAAAGCCACGGCUAACUACGUGCCAGCCGCCGCAGUAA